ACGGGGUGGGGGACAAGGGGAACACAGGCACGUGGCUCUGUCCACCGGUCAUCCUUGCUCAGGCUGAGGAGCCGCCGGGCCGGAGACGGUGUAGCCGGGCCAGGUGGGGGCUGGACGGCCCCUCCCCACUGCCCACCCACCCCCCGGCAUCAUCAGCCUCGCCACGUCAGCCUGUUCCUGGCCCUGCUCGGGCAGACGCGAAAUCUCUCCUAAAUCCCGCAUUUAAUUUUGUUCUCCGGGAAAUCGUAGGAGGUUUUGGAGAUAAAGCUGAGCUGAUAAAUUGGGGAUUUGGCGGUUCCUGCAGAAACUCCUGAACCAGCGGUGGGAGGCAGGCCCAGGAUGCCCGGGUCAGCUGGACCCCCGCUUAGGGGGGCCCCCAACAGCAUGCUGGGUCAGCGGGCUCCCCAGGGUGACCGGCGUGAGGGACACCAGAGUGAUCAUGACACACACGGGGGCCAGACCGCAAGGGACACCCCCUAGGUGCUGUUAAAGCUGGGCCGUGUACCUUUUACUCACAGCAAAGGCCUAUCAAUGCCAGGACGUGCCUGUGCGCCUGGGCCACCGAAGGCAGACAGAGGAGGAGCCAGUUCGGAUACUAUGAGAGGCAAUCAGGGCAGCCUUCCUGGAGGAGAGGUGAACUCGCAGGAGGUGGGGCCGACGGCACUCCAGGACUGUGGGAGGUGGGUGCGGCGACGCCUGGAUGGCCUGGGUCCCGGCUGGGCCUGAGUCAGUCAGGAUGGGCCAGGUUUCCUUGUGGUAGCAGAGGUCGGGUCACCUCGAUGGCUUCCCACAGCAAAGGUUUAUUUCUUGUCUUGCCCCAGGUCCCUCGUAGAUUGUCCUGGGCCCUGCCCCAUGACAUCCGCACUCAGGGACAGGGAGUGUCACCGGUCACCUUGCAGGGGCAGGGCAGAUGGAGAGGCAGCACUGGCUCUUGAAUGCUCUGCCCGUGAAUGAGUUGGGUCACUUCCCUGUUUCAUCGACCAGAGCAGGGGCACGGCCUCACCUCUCUUUAGAGGGCCAUUGGGGGCCUCCCCUGUGCCUGCUGAGGGCACGGGGCCAGUGGGCCGUUUGUCCAGCUCCCCAAGUGCCAGGCUGGCUCCUUGGCCCAAGGGGAAAGGGCAGGGGACCCCCAUCAAGUGCAUGGAGCCUUGGGUCCCCCUGGGACCUCAGGGCCUGGAGGUUCCCCUACUGGGAGGUGGGGUGUGCUCGAGGGGGACAGAGAUCUGGAUUGAGCUCUGGCCUCGGGCCCCUGGGGUCAAUGAGUAUAAAAAGCCUCACGGCCCCUUGAGGCUCACUUUCUAGAAAGAAACGUCAUUUACAAACCUGCCUUGAAAUUCCGGAUGUGAAAAUUGCCUUUGGGGACGGAGAUGAAAUGCCAUGCUGUAGCCGAACGUGGACAGCCCAUGGCCGACCCGCCGCUCCUGGGGAGGGUCCGGACCAAGCCUCUCCCCUCAGUUCCUACACAGCUGCACCCCUGAACCCCCAGAAGGCCGGGGAGUUUAAAACAGGGCAGGCGCUGCCCCUACAGCUGUGCCCAGAGAGGCCCCGGCCUCAACCUUGGUAGAAGGUUCUGGAGUCUUCUGGUCCUCUGGUCCCUGCCGUGUGACCUUGGGGUGACCUCACAGCUCUGUGUGUUUCUUCAUCAUAGUUGGGGACCCACAGCACCCCCAGGGUGAGCGUCCAGCAGGUGCUGACGGGGGCCAACGGAGGCUUGGAGCGGGGCUCUUUGGGUGCGGGCAUGCGCACGGGCUCCGUGAGGGGUUCUGCCAGACACCUGCUGGGGGUCGUUCGCUGGAGCCCCAGGACGGGAGCCCUGGCUCUCAGGCUCCACGUGCCCAGAGGGGGACCAGGCCAGGAGGGACCAGGGCGUGGGCGGGCUGCAGGGCAUGGGUGCCCAGCCUCACAGAGCCAAGCGGGCCCAGAGCAGCCCCUUUCUGGACGUCCGCACCAAGGUCUCUUUAAGCAGAGCGAGGUGGGCCUGCUGCACCUGAGGCGGCUUCUCCUAGCAGCUGCUUGGACCCCUGCAGAAGCCAGCGGGGACGUGCUCCACGGGAGCAAGGAACACGUGUGCACAGGACCGGCUGCCAGGGCCCCAAGCCCCGCGGUCGGCGGCGGGGAGACAUCUGGCAGGGACGGCGGCCGCUCUGUGACUGACCCACCCUCCCUGAUCCCUCUGCCAUUCCCCGGGGUGGGCAGACGGGGUCCAGCUCUCAGGGACUCAUCUCUGAUGGGGACUGGAGGCGGCCCUCCCUCUCCGAGGUAUCCUUGGGUGUGGAGCUCAAGUUCGCUCAGGCGUCACGGACAGCCCGUCCGGUUCCAGCACUCUCCGCUACAUCCUGACGCGUGGCUGCUUGAACUCCUCCGAGGACGAGGAGCUCACUCUCUGAGGACAGCAGAGCCUUGUUCUCAACCACGCGGUAAUCAGAGCACCAGGCAGGCGGCUCUGUGCUGCGUGUCUUAGCGAGCUGUUUCGUGGACACGUCUCAGCGCCGUCCCAGACCCCAGAUGCCCUGAGUCCACGGAGCUGAACCUUCCCAGGGGUUCAUCCUGCUCACUGGUGGUCGUCUGGCCCCUUUCCUCCUUGUUCUGAUUACCAAUCUCACUGCUGA